rnacentral:rRNA from 1 species
CCUACGGGUGGCAGCAGUGGGGAAUAUUGCGCAAUGGGCGAAAGCCUGCCGCAGCGACGCCGCGUGAGGGAUGAAGGUCUUCGGAUCGUUAACCUCUGUCAGCAGGGUAGAACGGUAACUGUGCUAAUCAGCAGUGAAUUGACGGUACCUGCAAAGGAAGCAUCGGCUAACUCCGUGCCAGCAGCCGCGGUAAUACGGAGGGUGCGAGCGUUAAUCGGAAUUAAUGGGCGUAAAGUGCUCGUAGGCGGGAUGUCAAGUCAAGGGUGAAAUCCCCGCGCUCAACGUGGGAACUGCCUUUGAUACUGGCAGACUGGAGUAUGGGAGAGGAUAGUGGAAUUCCAGGUGUAGGAGUGAAAUCCGUAGAUAUCUGGAGGAACAUCCAUGGCGAAGGCGACUAUCUGGCACAUAACUGACGCUGAGGAGCGAAAGCGUGGGUAGCAAACAGGAUUAGAUACCCCGGUAGUC